rnacentral:rRNA from 1 species
GUUGACCUCGGAUCAGGUAAGGAUACCCGCUGAACUUAAGCAUAUCAAUAAGCGGAGGA